AUUGAACGCUGGCGGCAGGCCUAACACAUGCAAGUCGAGCGGGCGGCGGACGGGUGAGUAAUGUAUGGGGACUGCCCGACAGAGGGGGAGAACUACUGGAAACGGUAGCUAAUACCGCAUACUAUCGGAUAACCCAUAUGGGAUUAGCUAGUAGGUGGGGUAAUGGCUCCCCUAGGCGACGCUCCCUAGCUGGUCUGAGAGGAUGAUCAGCCACACUGGAACUGAUACACGGCCCAGACUCCUACGGAGGCAGCAGUGAGGAAUAGGGCACAAGGGGAUGAAGGCUGAUGCAGCCAUGCCGAGUGGAUGAAGAAGGCCCUAGGGUGGGAAAGUACUUUCAGUCGUGAGGCGGUACCGGCAGAAGAAGCACCGGCUAACUCCGUGCCAGCAGCCGCGGUAAUUC
rnacentral:rRNA from 1 species